CGUGAGGUCGGAGGUUCAGUCCUCCCAGGCCCACCACUUCGCAAUCCGCAAGGAUUGUCGGAUCUCCUCGAUAUCCGUCGGGAAACACUAUCAGGGGCCGUAGCUCAGCUGGGAGAGCGCCUGCUUUGCAAGCAGGAUGUCGUCGGUUCGAUCCCGUCCGGCUCCACCAACCAUCUUCUGUGAAGGUGGGGCGUGUCGAGUAGAGGAUGAUCGCCCGCGGUCAGUCAUUCGAAAAAGAGUUUGCGGCGCGCUUCGUGCUCUCCGCCUGUUCUGUUUGACAUCGUAAAGAGAAGAUUUGUUCGAACUUCACGGCUGCAAGGCUGUGAUUUGUCGCAAGGACGCUCAAUCCCUUGCCUAUGAUGGGUUGCCUAACCGCGCCCUCGAACGGAUCUCGAGAAGCUGGUCUUUUUGUGCCAAUUCCAUUGAAGCAAGCCCCGCACAGGGUUUUGCUCAGGCGGCGAUCCUUCGGAUCGCGCAGAUGGGUAUUGGCAAUGAGAACGAUCAAGUGUCUUAAGGGCAAUUGGUGGAUGCCUUGGCAUGCACAGGCGAUGAAGGACGUGAUACGCUGCGAUAAGCUACGGGGAGGUGCGAAUACCCUUUGAUCCGUAGAUCUCCGAAUGGAAAAAACCC
rnacentral:misc_RNA from 1 species